rfam:Brevibacillus panacihumi W25 genomic scaffold Scaffold1, whole genome shotgun sequence.
UGCAUACUGUAACCGCACGAAGCAGGUAGACAAGACGUCGUUCGCGGCGCACCUGUACAGGCGAGUCUGAGUAUAGGA